AGAGUUUGAUCCUGGCUCAGGAUGAACGCUAGCGGCAGGCCUAAUACAUGCAAGUCGAACGGGAUUGAGAAGCUUGCUUUUCAUGAGAGUGGCGCACGGGUGCGUAACACGUAUGUAACCUACCUUAAUCUGGGGGAUAGCCUCUCGAAAGAGAGAUUAACACCGCAUAACAUCAUUUUAUAGCAUUUUAGAAUGAUCAAAUAUUUAUAGGAUUAAGAUGGGCAUGCGGAACAUUAGCUAGUUGGUAAGGUAAUGGCUUACCAAGGCUACGAUGUUUAGGGGAUCUGAGAGGAUGACCCCCCACACUGGUACUGAGACACGGACCAGACUCCUACGGGAGGCAGCAGUAAGGAAUAUUGGUCAAUGGGCGCAAGCCUGAACCAGCCAUGCCGCGUGCAGGAAGACGGCCCUACGGGUUGUAAACUGCUUUUGUACCGGAAUAAACUUUGAUACGUGUAUCAAGCUGAAUGUACGGAAGAAUA
rnacentral:rRNA from 1 species